UACGGGGGGGCAAGCGUUGUUCGGAAUUACUGGGCGUAAAGGGCUCGUAGGCGGCCAACUAAGUCAGACGUGAAAUCCCCAGGCUCAACCUGGGAACUGCGUCUGAUACUGAUUGGCUUGAAUCCGGGAGAGGGAUGCAGAAUUCCAGGUGUAGCGGUGAAAUGCGUAGAUAUCUGGAGGAAUACCGGUGGCGAAGGCGGCAUCCUGGACCGGCAUUGACGCUGAGGAGCGAAAGCUAGGGGAGCAAACGGG
rnacentral:rRNA from 1 species